rnacentral:lncRNA from 1 species
GUCAAACCAAACAGUUUGCAGGAUUGUGAAGGUAUCAUGUUCAUUAAUGUUCAUAACUAAAAAAAUUGUACACAUGGGUUUUAUGGAUUCUUCUAGUGACCACUGAAAUCUUGUCUUCUUUUAGAAUUAGAAUUUAGAAUUAGACCGAAUUACUUUCCCGGAGUGCAGGAUGGAUUCUGAAUUACCAAAUUGAUCAGAAUCUCCAUUAAAUGUAUCCUCAGCAGUCUGACGGAAAGACUACAAUGUAAGUUCUUUUUAGUGCAAACAUUUUCAGAAGACACUGGUAUUUCGUGCAAAGGAAGGAAGGAAGGAAGGAAGGAAAAAAGGAAGAGAGAGAGAGAGAGAAGAAGAGAGAGAGAGAGAGAGACCCUGCAAUGGGUAAUUUUAUUUUUUUUUUAUAUAUUUUUUUUUAAUGAAGAGAAUACCAAAUCAUGGUAAUUUUGUUCUUCCUCCUGUCCUCACAGCAUGACACAGAAGAAGAGCACAAUGGUAGGUUUGGUUCAUUUUCUUUACUUUCCUUCACCCUUUACCAAUCUUUUCUGAGCAUUUAGCAUUACUUAACUCCCAGACAAAGAUUAGAAAUUCUCUGAGCUAAUGUCUAUUUGUAAUUUGAUUGUGCAAGCACAGGAAUGUAUCCUACCAAAUUCUUCAAAGUGAU